CUACCUGUCUGGUCCUCUCCGAAGCCACCGUCUGCUCUCCGGAGCGAGUCCGCAGCGCGAGCAGCUGCGCGUUCCGCGAUCCUCCCUCUGCCUCCUCGCGCGCCUCCCCUAUACUACUGAUCAAUUCCGUCCCCUUCCCUCCUCUCCUGAAAGGCGCUCGGAGCACCGCGCACGCGGCUAGGCUACGAGGACCGUCAACAUGGCGCGGGGAGGAGGAUGUGGCCAUUAGGCGCCGUGCUCUACGGGUACGCGUACUGCGCCUGUCCGGCGCUCCGGAGACAAGCGUCGCAGAUCUUCCAGAGCGAGGAAUUGGGAAGCCCCUCGUGACUGCUCAAACGACAAGAUCCAAGCCGGAGGACACCGGGGAGAAGGGUCCCCGCCUCGCAAGAUCAGCCUGAGGUGUCCAGGUUCAAGUCCGCUCGCCACACUGGGGGCGGCUGUGGACAGGUCUUCUACGUACUGCUGCAAAAAAGGUCGUCUGUACCCCUCUAAAUGACUGCUGCAGGAGAACGCCGCAGCGUUCGUCUUCUGUGUGCUCGCUGCCUUCAAUCCAUUCAAAAAGCC